rnacentral:lncRNA from 1 species
AAAUGGCUCUCUGAAGUCCAAGUUCUCGCAUGACAUUCUAACUCAAUUUUUUUUUUUUUUGAUAAUAGGUUACUUUUAUGGUACUAAUCUACAUGACACCAAACAGUUCCUUGAUUAGUUAACAAGCCAGUUGUCUUUUUUCUGGCUAUAUCAGCAUGUUCUUACAAGUGAAGAGGAACUGUAACCUACAUAAAACCAAGGAUAAGAAUAUUAAACAGUAGCAUAAUGAGAGAAAUUUGUCUAAAAGAUGUUUAAUUCUAUGCAUCCCAGGAGGAUAUAAAAAGAGACUCUCCUCGCCAAAAAGAAUUAAACACAUUCUCAUUCUCAUGGUGUAUGUAACAUGUUAUAAUGAUUACAUUAAAAAAGAUAAUUGAUCAGAUAUUUAAUAAAAUUUAGUAGAAAACUCACAAUCACCAACCAAUAUGACUAUUUGUUUUCCAUUUUUCUAGAUAUGAUUUAUGGGAGGUGAAAUAUUUCCUGAUAUAAGAAGAAAAUCUAGAAGUGAGGUCACUACCUACAAAGAGAUUUACAAAAGCUUGAAGAAAAAUUACUCUAAAGAUAGCCUUGGUGAAUCGACAGUUAUGUGUUUGUGGAAUCUAAGACAAUCAAACUUAUAGAAGAUAAAGUAGAAUGAUGGCUACAAGAGGCUGGGGAGUGGGAAGUACAGUGUCAAGUGCACAACAUUCCAGUUAAACAGGAGGAAUAAAUGAUAAAUAUUUGAAAUGGUGAAUACAUUAAUUGGCUUGACUCAAUCAUUCCACAUUGUGUGCAUAGAUAUCAUGGCAUCACUUCGUGCCUCAUAAGUAUAUGCAAAUAUAAUUUGUCCAUAUUUAAUAAAAUACAAUUUUAAAAAAGAACGAAGAGUCAGCAUAUCUUUUGAUGCUCAGCAAACCUCACAUCAUUGCCUUUUCUCUUACCUUUUGGUAUAUUUUGAUACAAAAUUACAACAUUUUACAAGGGAAAAGAAAGUUAAAAAUUACUAGUCUAAGCCAUUCUUUUUAGAAAUGAGGGCACUAACUUAAUGCUCCAUAACUUGCUGGCAGUCAGAGGUAGGAAGUGGCAGAUAACAGGUCUCUGCAGAACUAUUUCCAGAACAACACAUCUUUGUAAUUUACAUUUACCUUUUUAAAGAGGCUUAUUGCCUUUUCCUAGUCACGCAUGUUAUUUUAAAGUUUCACCACAAUGCCGACAAUAGUUGUACACAGGGAAGCAACUGCCACAGUUUUCACAGAAUCUAGCGUAGAACCAGCAACGGCGUAGUUGAAAUAAACAAACUUCAGUUACCUUCUAAGCUUCAGAUACAACCUGUAUGAGUUAUGUGUAUGUGAACAUGUAUUAUUUCCUUGAAAGAGUUAUUAUUUAUAUCUGCAAAGAAAAAGUAUAACUUGGAUAUUUUCUAUACAGUAGUAAAAUGAGAAUUUUUAAAGAUUGCUUUAACAUUUUAUGCCAUGUGCUCUUAAAUACAAGAAUAUUAUAUUCAUGAUGUGCUAGUUUUAAAAAGAUGUUUCUUUGCCUGUCGUUAGAUAGAAGAAAAAUUUAUUUAUUUUUUUAAUUUUUUUGAGACGGAGUUUUGCUCUUGUUGCCCAGGCUGGUCUGCAGUGGCGUGAACUCGGUUCACUGCAGCCUCCGCCUCCCAGGUUCACGUGAUUUUCCUGCCUCAGCCUCCGUAGUAGCUGGGAUUACAGUCAUGCACCACCAUUCCUGGCUAAUAUUGUAUUUUUAGUAGAGAGAUGAGCUUUCUCCGUGUUGGUCAGGCUGGUCUUAAACUCCUGACCUCAGGUGAUCCGCCUGCCUCAGCCGCCCAAAGUGCUGGGAUUACAGGCGUGUGCCGCUGCCCCUGGCCGAACUUGAUUCUUCUUAAGCCAAAAGAAGUAAACAAAGAAACAUAGACCUUGUAGGAAGUCUCCAAGAUGGCCUCCAAUGAUCUUGACCUCCAGGUAUUCUUUCCUUUAUGUAAUUGUUUCCUGUUAAAUGUGG